GGCAGCAGCUCUCUGCCACACAGGGCAGGGCUGGUCACAAGCAGGGCUUUGGUUCUCAUUUCCCCUGUGAAGUACAUUUCGUUUUAAAAAUAUUUUGCCAUUUCACAUCACAUCAGCCAUGCUAAAAUUUAUUGUUACCUCCAGCAAAGUGGAAACAAUAGCGGGAAAUAUUAAAAGUAUGUAAGUUAGUUUUGAGACUUUGUACAAGUAGUGAAGUGUUACCUUCCCCCGUGUCUGUUCUGACUUAACGGCAGAAGGCGCGUCUCCUAAUGGACUGCACCCGAUGGCAUUUAUUCUCUUUAGAGGUCUAAUUUACCCAAAAGACAGACAUGGGAAGAGACCACUACUGGAAGAAAUGCUAUGAAUGUGGAUAACGUGAUUUCUUUUUAACAUUUGAUUAAAACAGGUGAAAUGAAAAGAAAAAUCCUAAAAAUUUAUCUGAAUUUACCAAAUUAGUGAAAAUCUGCCAGCCUGUUUUCUAAGCUGUUCAGGUCAAAAGAGCUACACUGGAUUAAACAUUUGUACGGCUGUCCAGGGUCAAGUGUCUUCUUUAUUUAAACUGUAAUAUUUUCCUAUUUUCAUACUUGGUUCCAUUACUGUGUCUGUAUUUUUAAUAAACACAGACUUAGUUUCCUUUAAUACCUUUUCUUAAAGUACAUACUUUAACUGGAGAACCGUGUUUGGGAGGCUCUGGGCUUCGUCUCUUCGUCCUGAAGUGAGUGGACAGUCCGCACUGGCAGAGCCUUGGCCUGGAAGUCUGUUAGGUGUCUGGUUCUCUUAGUUACGUACUGCAUUUUGCCUCUCUUACAGAAAAGUGUUCAGAAGAACCAGCUUAUUUUCUCAAGAAAAAGAAAUCAGGACCAACCUGGUUUAUUUUGCCUUGCGCUUUGGAUAAACUAAUCAGAAUCAGGUGACCUGUCAGUUGUGUACAGUUGGACGUCAGACGCUGAAAACGACACACAGAUCCAGCAGUCCCGGUCUCCAGCAGUGCUCGCGCACCUCAUUGCUGUCUGAGUUGUUACAUUCCAAGAGGAAGCACAGACGAGAUCUUCAUACUCAGGCUUUCAGUUUUCUGUUCUGCGCGACCCUCUUGGCCGCCUGUGCCCCCAGAGCCCGCACUGCAGGCCACGUCGCGAGUGCUUGUAUCCAAACCUGGUGGUGGCUGAACAAGAAGAGACCCUUGACCAGGAUGAGUGUACAUUCUGCUGGUGGAGCACCCCACACAGCAACUGGUGAGAUGAUGCAAGAUGGGGAAGGUGCCUGGAGGUUGAGAAGGUGAUGCAGCUGGGGGUCAUGUGUGGGGUCAGGUGUGAGGGUCAGGUAUGAGGGGCGGGUGUCGGAGAGCUUGUGUGGGGGGUGUGAGGCGGCGUGAGGGGUGGGUGUGAGGGGCAGGUGUGAGGGGUGGGUGAGGGGCGGAUGUUAGGGGCGGGUGUGAGGGUCAGGUGUGAGGGGUGGGUGAGGGGUGGGUGAGGGGCGGGUGAGGG
ensembl:lncRNA